GUGGGGAAUCUUAGACAAUGGGCGCAAGCCUGAUCUAGCCAUGCCGCGUGAUCGAUGAAGGCCUUAGGGUUGUAAAGAUCUUUCAGUGGGGAAGAUAAUGACUGUACCCACAGAAGAAGCCCCGGCUAACUCCGUGCCAGCAGCCGCGGUAAUACGGAGGGGGCUAGCGUUGUUCGGAAUUACUGGGCGUAAAGCGCACGUAGGCGGAACAGAAAGUCAGAGGUGAAAUCCCAGGGCUCAACCUUGGAACUGCCUUUGAAACUCCUGUUCUUGAGUUCGAGAGAGGUGAGUGGAAUUCCGAGUGUAGAGGUGAAAUUCGUAGAUAUUCGGAGGAACACCAGUGGCGAAGGCGGCUUACUGGUCCAUUACUGACGCUGAGGUGCGAAAGCGUGGGGAGCAAACAGGAUUAGAAACCCGGGUAGUCC
rnacentral:rRNA from 1 species